rnacentral:rRNA from 1 species
GGGGUGCCCAGGCGCGAAAACUUUACAAUGCUGGAAACAGCGAUAAGGGGACCUCGAGUGCCAGGUUACAAAUCUGGCUGUCGUGAUGCCUAAAAAGCAUUGCAUAGCAAGGGCCGGGCAAGACCGGUGCCAGCCGCCGCGGUAACACCGGCGGCUCGAGUGGUAACCGUUAUUAUUGGGUCUAAAGGGUCUGUAGCCGGCCGGAUAAGUCUCUUGGGAAAUCCAGCAGCUCAACUGUUGGGCUUUCAGGAGAUACUGUCUGGCUCGAGGCCGGGAGAGGUGAGAGGUACUUCAGGGGUAGGGGUGAAAUCUUGUAAUCCUUGAAGGACCACCAGUGGCGAAGGCGUCUCACCAGAACGGACCUGACGGCAAGGGACGAAAGCUAGGGGCACGAACCGGAUUAGAUACCCGGGUAGUCCUAGCCGUAAACGAUACUCGCUAGGUGUCGGCCACGGUGCGACCGUUGUCGGUGCUGUAGGGAAGCCGUGAAGCGAGCCACCUGGGAAGUACGGCCGCAAGGCUGAAACUUAAAGGAAUUGGCGGGGGAGCAC